rnacentral:lncRNA from 1 species
GAAAGGGGUGUCUGGGGAGGAAAUGUCCAGGCCGGUCAGCAGAACCACAUCGGCCAAUGUGGGGGUCAUAGGUCCGUGUCCAAACAAGAAUGCAUUAAGAGCAUCAGACCAAAAGUAAGAGGCUGCUAUCACUAAUGGUUCAUUUCGCUCCAUCUAGGACAGAGAUAGGUUGAUGCAUUGGCCGAUUUUGAGCUCGUCCCAUUGGACCCUCUUGGGUGCGGCUAUCCGCUGGUACCAUUCCCUCCAACCGGGAGUUUCAUUCAGCCAAGACCUAAAGGUGCCCAGCCAGUGAUCCAGGUCCAUGGUGGAUUGUUUGAAGGGGAUUCUAUGGGUUUCCAAAUUAAUUAGCUCAGUUGGAUCUGGGUUCCCCAUGGGUCCGAGGCAGACAAGGCCGGGAUUUCCCGUAAGAUGGAUGGUGAUGCGAUGUCUAACUGCCUAAAAAAGGAAAGGGGGUGCGAAAGUAAGAAAUAGAUCUAAAGUAAAUGUAUUACCGAUAAAGGAAAGAUUCGGUGAUGACCUCUGGG